AAAUUGAAGAGUUUGAUCCUGGCUCAGAUUGAACGCUGGCGGCAUGCUUAAUACAUGCAAGUCGAACGGUAACAGGCAUUAGUGAUCCCUUCGGGGUGAUCUUGGCGCUGACGAGUGGCGAACGGGUGAGUAAUGCUUGGGAAUCUGCCCGGUAGUGGGGGACAACCCGAGGAAACUCGGGCUAAUACCGCGUAAGCUCCACGGAGGAAAGCGGGGGAUCUUCGGACCUCGCGCUAUCGGAUGAGCCCAAGUCGGAUUAGCUUGUUGGUGGGGUAAUGGCCUACCAAGGCGACGAUCCGUAGCUGGUCUGAGAGGACGAUCAGCCACACUGGGACUGAGACACGGCCCAGACCGCGGUAAUACGGAGGGUGCGAGCGUUAAUCGGAAUUACUGGGCGUAAAGCGCACGCAGGUGGCUGGGUCAGUCGGUUGUGAAAUCCCCGGGCUUAACCUGGGAAUUGCGAUCGAAACUGCCCGGCUAGAGUAUGGGAGAGGGAAGUGGAAUUCCCGGUGUAGCGGUGAAAUGCAUAGAUAUCGGGAGGAACACCAGUGGCGAAGGCGGCUUCCUGGCCCAAUACUGACACUCAGGUGCGAAAGCGUGGGGAGCAAACAGGAUUAGAUACCCUGGUAGUCCACGCCG
rnacentral:rRNA from 1 species